rnacentral:rRNA from 1 species
CGGAGGGGCUAGCGUUGUUCGGAAUGACUGGGCGUAAAAGCGCGCGUAGGCGGAUCAGGAAGUUGGGGGGUGAAAUCCCGGGGGCUCAAACCUCGGAAUGGGCCUUCAAAAACUCCUGGUCUUGGGGUUCGAGAGAGGUGAGUGGAAUUCCGAGUGUAGAGGUGAAAUUCGUAGAUAUUCGGAGGAACACCAGUGGCGAAGGCGGCUCACUGGCUCGACACUGACGCUGAGGUGCGAAAGCGUGGGGAGCAAACAGGAUU